CAGCAGUCGCCGCGGUAAUACGUAGGGUGCAAGCGUUAAUCGGAAUUACUGGGCGUAAAGCGUGCGCAGGCGGUUAUAUAAGACAGAUGUGAAAUCCCCGGGCUCAACCUGGGAACUGCAUUUGUGACUGUAUAGCUAGAGUACGGCAGAGGGGGAUGGAAUUCCGCGUGUAGCAGUGAAAUGCGUAGAUAUGCGGAGGAACACCGAUGGCGAAGGCAAUCCCCUGGGCCUGUACUGACGCUCAUGCACGAAAGCGUGGGGAGCAAACAGGAUUAGAUACCCGCGUAGUCCCUGUCUCUUAUAA
rnacentral:rRNA from 1 species